UACGAGGGGGGGCAAGCGUUGUUCGGAAUUAUUGGGCGUAAAGGGCGCGUAGGCGGUUUGGCAAGUCUAGUGUGAAAUCUUCGGGCUCAACUCGAAGUCUGCACUGGAAACUGCCGGGCUUGAGUAUGGGAGAGGUGAGUGGAAUUUCCGGGUGUAGCGGUGAAAUGCGUAGAUAUCGGAAGGAACACCAGUGGCGAAAGCGGCUCCUGGUCCAGCACCGACGUUCAGGCACGAAAGCGUGGGGAGCAAACAGG
rnacentral:rRNA from 1 species